ACUCCUCUCCUUGCUCCCAACAUAUGAAGAAGGAUGUGUUUGCUUCCCCUUCCACCAUGAUGGUGCAUUUCCUGAGGCCUCCCCAUCCUUGCUGAAUUUAGAUGGUACGUCUCUCCUUCAUGUGCUGCCUGGGGUUGAGGAGAAGUGGCAUAGAGAUACAAGCCUCCUGGGUGAUGAGAAAGACAGAGAAGCAUUUUUCAUAGAGAGUUGCCAGGAUUGCUCAGCAUCCAGAUCAACCAUGAAAGGCACCAGGAGAAUGAACAUCUGCAUUUUUCUUGUCCAUGAUUCUUCUACAUAAUGCUACUGAAGCGAAGAUAAUCUUUAAUUGUAGAAACAAGAAGAGAAGCAAAUAUAUUACUAGUAUCCAGAAGCUCCUUCACAGUUUUCAGAUAAUGCUAAUGAGCUAGUUCCUGGUUUGUAUCACAAACUUCUCCCAAAUUCUUCCCCUAAACAUUCCUUCAUGGUGGAGCUAAUUAGACUAUUGCAGCUCCACCGUUCAUUACUGCUUGUAUUUUGUAAAAAUUAGUGCAUAUGUCAUGGGCCUAGGGAUACAUCCAUUGCAGGGAAAUGGGAGUAGGGCAUUCCCAGUUUUAGCUAUAAUUGAAAAUUAUUCUUAGGGACGAAAAUGCCAUUGAAUAAUUCUGCCUUUUCUCCUCCUUGUUCUCUCUCUCUCUCUCUCUCUGUCUCUCUCAUAUCUAUCUUCUUUCUUUCUUUCUUUCUUUCUUUCUUUCUUUCUUUCUUUCUUUCUUUCUCUCUCUCUCUCUCUCUCUCUUUACUAAGUCUGGAAACCCUUAGAGUUUCUCUUGAAUAUAUCAAGCUAAUUAUUUUUAUUUUUAUUCACUACCUUUCAUGCAUUUCCUACUUCCAAUAAUCCUUUUUUAUUAAGUCUCCCAAUCCAAGUCCACCCUCACUCAAAAGUGACCUUCCCAGAGUAGGGUGUACAAUGCGGAGUCCACAUAAGCAUCUCUAUACUUCUAAGUUUUAUGCCAAGAGCAUGCUUAUUUUAAUAAGCAAAAAACAAGUAACAAUGAAGAAAAUAAUCAUAAAGUAAAAAUCCAAAAAAAUAGAAUAACAGAAGGUUUUCCUCAGAAUUAAAAAUAAACCUAUUUUUAUGCAGACAUAAAAUGAAAAAGUCUUUUAUGCACAGAUGUGUGAACCGGGACUAUAGCUGGGUAAUCAAAUGGAAAUAAAAGACAGUUUUUCUUACUUUAAGUCAUUUCACUAACAAGCCUACCGAAUGCAUUUGGAAACGAUCUUUCAUUGAUCAUUUUCUAUUAUUAAUUAUGGAUAAGCAGAGAUUUUUUCAAAAGCCCCUGAACCUGCUUAGCUUGUACAAAGAUGCCACAAAUCAGAGCCCACGGGUUACAGGAAUUAUUGAUCCUUCUAUAAAACGGUCAUGCAAUCUCCUUCCUGAAUCCAGUAAAAUACUGAAUAAUAGGCUGAAAAGACAUCACCAUAGUAUUAAUCCAAGUACUGAAUUGAACAAUCAGUGGGCAAUCUUUAGUUUUCUCCUUAUGUUAAUGGUAGUUCAAACAAUAACUUUGUAUUAUGUAUUUUUCUAUUUUAUGUUUUUCUUGCAAUUAUAACAUGUUUCAGAAAGUUUUUCUAGCAUCUCACCAUCCAUAAAAAUUCUCUCAGGAGGAGGAAGAAUUUUCCUUGUGACAAUUUCAGAGACAUUCUUAUUUUUAGAUAGAAUUUUUAAUAAACUCUAACAAUUUCCUGACUGAACUUCAGCUGGUACCCCUCCUUUUUCUUUUUUCUUUCUUUCUUUCUUUUUUCUUUUUUUUUUUUUUUGGUCUGAGACAAUGAGUCUUGCUCUGUUGCCCAGGCUGGAGUGCAAUGGCGCGAUCUCAGCUCACUGCAACCUCCGCCUCCCAGGUUCAAGCGAUUCUCCUACCUCAACCUCCAGAGUGGCUGGGAUUACAGGCUUGCGCCACCACACCCAACUAAGUUUUGUAUUCUUGGUAGAGACGGGGUUUUAUCAUUUUGGCCAGGCUGAUCUCCCUCAAACUUUUGACCUUACGUCCACCUCGGCCUCCCAAAGUGCUAGGAUUACAGGCGUGAGCCACUGCACCCGGCUCCUAGUUUCUUUUUCUAGACGUUUUAGCAAACACCUACUUAAGUAUUUGCUACAUUAUUUCUAAAACAAUAUUCAUUUUAUAUUUGGUCCUUUAUAUUGCGUCUUCAAAUGAAGCUGAAUUCUGUGAAGACUUUCCAGCUAUAUGGCUGUUUCCUCUGUUUCCUUGAUAUUCUGUGUAUUCUAGUCCCUAUAACAGAUUUUGCAUUUAUACCACUACACUAAAUAGUUCUUCUCAGACAUUUAUAUGGAUUUUGUGCCUAUUGGGGGAUAAAUUCACUGCAAUGACGCAAAUACCAGGUAACACACUCUAUUUAACAUUACAAAAAUGCUUAGGGGCAUGUUAAAUGAAGUUCUAUGGAACAGCAAUUGUAUAUUGCCUUUUAGGGUAGUGUUUAAAAGCUAAUUACAUAUUCAUCCAUGCUUAGUUAUUGAACCAUAGAACACCUAAGUAAGCAAUUUGUAGUUAUCCAGUGUGAAAUAGUUGUCCUAUUAACACUAAUUCAAAGCCUGGAAAAACAGCCUUUCUUAAAACCAAAGAUAAAAUAGAAACCAAUACUUUCUUUAGUGCUAAUGGAGCCCAAUGCAGUUAAGCUAACAAAUGCAUCAUAUUCUCUACUAACUGUUCUGUUUUCCUGCUCACCUGAAACUCAUAUUAAUACAUCAAAUUACAGAGGUUAUUGUUAGCAAUUUACAUACCACCUGUUUUUAUUUCCAUUAACAUUUUUCUUUAAAUGUCUUUUUAUAUGUUCAGUCUUUUAUAUUGAAAGAUAAAUGUCUCCUACCUUUCAGAAUCUUGAAAUUAACACAAUUAAGAGUUUUAAUUUUCUACCACCCAUGAUUUUCUUUUUUAGGAGAGUUACCUACACUCAGAAGCAUUCUUAAUGCAGCACUGUCAUUUAUAAAACAAAGACCCUCAAUAUUUUCCUUGCUUGUCUUUGAAGCAUUUUUGUUUAAUGUAUCAUGAUCUAAAUGCAAAGCUCGUUCCCCAAUCAUUACUCCUUUCUAUGUAAACUCUGAUUAAACAAAACUGGAUCAUUUUAAAUUAAUGGUUAUACAGUAUCCAGUGCAAGACCCUGGCUUUGAAUGCUUAACCAAUCUGUCUCAAACAUUUUUCUUUUUUCCUAAGAUUAGAGGAGUGUACGAUAACUGUCUUUGAUGCAAUAGUUAUGAAUCUAAAGAAAAGCAAAAGUGUAAACCCAAUGAGCUUAGGAGCAAAUAAUCUGGGCUAAGGUCCUAACUUUGCCAUUUAUCAGUGCUACCAACAAUGCUCCAUGAUCUUCAGGAACAGGCUGAAAUUUUCUCAACCUCAGUGACUCAUUUUUAAUGUAUUUUAUAAAAUUACCUAUGUCACAUUGGAAUUUUUAAGACCUAUAUUAUCAUUUGAGAAGAACAAUACCACUGAUUCAAUCAUCAAGUUUCUUUGAGCCACCAGGUUGCCUUCAGUGGACCCAGGAGCUUACAGCACUGAAAAAUCGGUACCCACAAUUAUAUUAAACCUGAGAAAAGAGUUUUGCAGAGACCCAAAGCCCCUCAUGACUGCAGAAGCACUCAUAGAUUAUCAGUUCUCUUGAGAAGGGAAGAGAGCUAGCUAGUCAGUGGGAGAAACCGUUGAGAGAACAGAAUGUUCCUGUUCAUAUCCUUUUCACUUUGGUCACUGGCAUCUAAUUCCUGGUCCAUCUCAUCCUGAGAAUCAAACAAGCAAGAAACUGAGCAAAGUCAACAAAAUUAAGUAGCCUAGCAGAUAUACUCACACUGUAACAGGGAUGUGCAAAAAGAAUAUGUCUCCUUCAUUCUUUACAACUGUUCUUAUUUUCCUCAAAAGUCACAAAUCUUGGAUAGUAGGGGGAAAAUGCUACAUUUAAUUUGCCCAAUCUGGAAAUACUAGCCAGGUACAAUAAUUUAAAUAGUGCUUUUAGGUGGAAUAUGUAAUCUCACAGAUUCCACAUCUCCUCUCCUGAUGGAGGUUUGUGGCUUUUGUGACCUCAAAGAGAAAGAGUAAAGUAAAUCUUGAAUCCACAUACUAUCCUUUAAUUCCUUUGGUUUCCAUGGUGACAUUCUUUGCUCUCCAGGUUGCUGCUCAGCCUGCUGGAAUAAAUCUAGCAGCUUGUAUAACUCGAGGUCCAUGUUUGCUUGUCUUGGUUAGGAUCUGAAAGUCUAAUCCUAACGAGUUUUGCCUACGUGCAUUCCAGACCCCAGGUCUUACUUUAACCCCUGUGCUCCUGACACCCAGCAAUUCUGAGCAAAUAAACCUUUUCACAUGCCUAUAACCCAUUCCUAAUCCACCAGUAUGCUGAGGUACACAGCAAAUGGAAUACAGAAGAUCUUCUCCAUAUACGGAAAGCCUUUCAAAUCUGUCUUCCUGAUGCACAAUACUGUUCUGAAUGUUUUUAAUUUCAUUGUAACAAUUUGUUCUCACUCUCAUGUGCAACGCAUCCCUGCGGACAAAUGGAUGCCAUUAAUUGGCUAAGGAAAAUGUCAUGUAGAGGAAAAUCAUAUUGAGGUUUUACUUAGAUGAAAUAAUUCAGGGACCUAAGAUAAAUGCAACAUAUUUCACCUCCCUUUUCUAGUUUACUCACUAGUUCACUUAAGAAAGUGAAGGGGUGAGGUGAAGGGACUGAACAGUCCCCUGAUUCUAAAUGAAAGAAGACAAAAGGCAACAAUAUGGAGGAGCUGGCAAGAGAUUGGACCAACCUGGCAAAGAAAAUAGGUCAUUGAAAGCGCCAUCAUUUUAUGUCAGAAAAUCUAUUCAAGCUUCUCCAUCUUCCCAAAAUUGCUUUUUCAAAUAAUUUGUGAAAAUCGCUGAUUUCUGAAUCAGUACAAAGUAACUGCAGAUCAAAGAGAAUUCUGCUGGCUUGAUUUUCUAGAAGGCUGGAUAGUGACCUUGCAAAGAAUCACCUUUAUUGACCUCAAAUGUAUUUCCUUGUUCCUUUUUCCACCUUCCCUGACCCUUGCAUUUUUGCCAUUAUUGGUGUAGAGAUUAAAACAUGAGAAAAAAAUUUAUAAACAUCACUUUCUUUAUCUUCUGAGUGUUAUAUAUGCUACGCUUUCCUUUCCUGAUGAAAUUGUGGUUGUGGAAUCAUACAGCGCUGCUGAAUUCUCCUUUAUUAUCUUUUAUUAUCUUGAUAGUUCCUCUGGUUCUCUCUAUCAGGAGGUCAAAGAAGUAUUUUUUUCAAUACUUUUUUUAAGAUACUGUCAAUAUAUGUUUUAAGUGAAAAAAACUAUAUUAUGACAUCAUUUCACUUUCUAGAUGUAUGUUUAAGCUGCUUUAUUUGUUUGCUUUCCUUAUACUGAUCAUUAUCUUAGGGGAAUAAGAUAAUAAGUGUCAUAAACUGUGUCCCAACCUGUCCUAAGCCCUUUGCGUAUAUCCAUUCUUGGGGAAAUGCUGCAACAUUUUCAGUCCCAUGGCUGUUCCAAUAGAGUGAAUCAAUGAGUAUGAAGCUUUCUAAACUGGGUAUAUUAGUUUGCUAGGACUGCUAUAACAAACUGCACAUACUAGGUGGUUUAUACAACAGAAAUUUAUUGUCUCACAUUUCUGGAAGCUAGAAGUCCAAGAUCAAGGUGUAUCCAGGUCUAUUCCUUCUGAAGGCUGUGAGAGAAAAUCUGCCCCGUGCCUUCCUCCCAGUUUCUGGUGGUUUGCUGGCAAUGUUUGUCAUUCUUUGGCUUCAUUCUUUGGCUAUCCCUGCCUUCAUCUUUGCAUGGUGUUAUCCAUGUGUGUGUAUUUGUGUCCAAAUUUCUCCCCUUUUAUGAGGACACCAGUCAUAUUGGAUUAGGAUCCAUCCUAAAGACCUCAUUUUAAACACUUACAUCUGCAAUCACUGUAUUUCUAAAUAAAGUCACAUUCUGAGGUUUGAGGGUUAGGAUUUUAACAUACAAAUUUGGGGAAAAACACAAUUCAAACCAUAGCUUUGACUAUCCCAAGGAGACACACAUUUGGAUAAUUUCAACAGUCACCUCAAAACAUUACUUUUAGAAAGAGUUCUUUGCAGCAGAUUUUCUUGCAUCAAAGCAUUUGUGGUCUCGCAAUACUUGAUACUUUCACUAAUUCAUGAAUGUGAAGGUUAAGUUUCAUCUUCAAAAUAAUAUCAAAUUCCUUCCUCAAGUUACUCCUAGCAAAGAGGCUGGGUGCCAGUGAUUACACAACCACCAUCUUUUUUUAAUCUAAAUCAUUUCUAAGCUGCUAUGGUGUGAAUGCUUGUGUUCAUCCAAAAUUUGCAUGUUGAAAUCUUGACCACUAAGGUGAUGGAAUGGAGGUGGGGCCUUUAGUGGGUGAUUAGGCCAUGAGUAUGAAGCUCUCAUGAAUCAAAUCAGUGACCUUAUAAAAGAGUCUCCAGAGAGCCCUUAACCCCUUCCACCAUGUGAGGACACUAUGAGAGGAUGACUGUCUAUGAACCGGGUAGUGGGGACUCACUGGACACAAAAUCUGCCAGCACCUUGAUCUUGGAUAUUCCAGUCUCCAGAACUGUCAGAAAUAAGUUUCUGUUACUUAUAAGCCACUCAGUUUAUGGUAUUUUGCCAUAGCUGCCCAAAUGGGCAAAGACAUAGGCCAAAUGCCUUGACAGAGUUGCACAGUUAUGGCUGUGUCACUAAAUUUUACUAUUUACCAUUUAUUGUAAAGGAUGCCAAGAAAGAAGCUUUCUGGAGGUCCUAAUCUCAUUCACAAAUGUUAUUGAGUUUUUUUUAACAAGUAUACAAUUAUUUUCUUAGAAACACCUAAACCACCUACAAUAAGCUCAGUUGCAAAGCAUCUAUCUAAACUCAACUAGUCAAGUGUAUAUUGCCAGCAUACAGGAUUGUGUAACAUCUCUUUUAUGAUGCAGUUAUGGCCUUCACUCAUGGGUAAGUACAAUUUUAGAAUUUUUAAGGCUAAGAACCACAUAUUAUUUACUAUUGUUAUCAAAGCCCGACACAUGCUUAGCCCCUAAUAAAAAUUAGUUGAAAAGCUUAAUAAAAGGCAAAUGAAUGGAUGUAAAAGUGAAUUAUGUAGCUGUUCUUGAUUUCAGUACCAACCUACUAAUUGAACUAUAUUUACUGAACUUUUUCUUCAAACCCACACUACUUCAGAGGGAAUAUAUACCACCACAUCUAGUUGAAGAAAGUAAAUUUUAGAGGAAAGCCCAUGUUUAUGAGAAAAAUAAACAGAGACAUGUCAAGUCGGUAGCCAGCUGUUUCUGUAUCUUGGAUGUGUCCCGAGAAAUCAUCUCCUUGCCCAGGUUCAACUUCAUUUAGUAUGGAGUUUGGACUAUAUGCCUAUGGACUUGGUGCUGAUGGUUGUGAGCAAAGUUUUGCAUUCUGAUUCAUUUCUUUUGUAUCUGAAGUCCUCAAGGAUAGUGACAUGACCUUCUCUUCUUUCUUCUGUCGCCAUGGUUACAAGAACUCUGCAUCUCAUGACUGAGACAAGCAGCUGACUGGAUCUUAUAUCCAAGGUUUUUUCUGGUGGGCAAAGCUUUGGCCAGUUUGUAUGAACCCAGAGCUGCCUAUUUUGUCUAGCAGAUAUUAGCAAAUAUUUUGUUUGAUUUCUUGAUUGAUUUCUGAGCUCUGUCAAUAAUUCUGCAAUUGUGAAAUUUAGAGGCUUUGUUCUCUUUAAGAAGGACAAAUCCUUUGUAAUGAAAAUUUGAGGUUGCAGUAGAUGUCAUAAGCAAUUGUUGGCAUGUUCUAAUUUAAGAAAUCGUUUCCUGUUCCCCCAGUAUUUUGAUUGCUGGAAAAUCCUUUCAUUUGAGUUUAAAUACUUUGGCUAAAAGCUCUGUGAGGAGAAUGUAAGUACAUAUUCAGAAAAUUGGGAUACUGUAAAGGUAAGAUUUCAGUUGAAUGGAGAGGAAGAGGACAUUGCUUUAAUGGGAAGUAUUGGGUGGCUCAUCCCAGUAGGAUUAGGCAUUUCUGAGGGCAGUUGUAAAGAGACAGGGUAGUGCCUGGAGAGAACAGUGGCACCCAAAGAUGGGAAAGGUAUAAAGAAAAGACUGGUCAGUUAUUCGAGGAAAAUGGUAGUUAAAACAUGUGCCCAUUUCAAACUUUUCCUCAAGCAUAACUUAGAAACAGUUUCCCACGUGCCAGCAAAUGACAAAAGGAAGGAAAAGUCACUUUAACAUCUAAAACAGCUCUGCAGAGGGUUUUUACAACUCCUUUGCAUUACCAGUGCAGAGAGCAAUUGUUUCACAAAGUGUAUCGUAACACUUGACCAAAUUUAUAUCAUGUUUAUAUUCUUCUUAAAACAAACAGAAAAUACAAAUAUCUGUCUGAAACAGAUCUGUGAAACUGUAAUAACAGAAACAAGAAAUGAGUUUAUUGUUCCCAUUAGGCCUGCUGUUCUAUCUGUUUGACCUAUGCUAAUUUUUGCCCUCAGUGUUCAUGGAUAAGGAGGAAGGCAAAAUGAGUCCACCCUCCAAUAUAAUGAUGGCAGCAAUCUAUAAUGGAUCUUGAACAUUUCCAAAUACAAGGCUUUAGUGAGGGCAGAGGAAAAUGCGAAUACAAACAAUACUAAAUUAAAAUGGAAUUUUUCCUUUCUCUUCAGUGCUAACUCACCUUGGUUCUUUAGCAGCUGAGGUUAGGCUAUUUCACUCAUACUGCCUCCCAGCCUUACUUUGAUAUCUGGCCCUAGGACGUGUUUUCUUUGCAGUACUUUCAUGUGGUGGUUGGUUUUUCUUUUACUUUUGGGGGUCGGGAGGUAUGAUCCAGAUCCUCCCCAAUCUCAAACACUGUUCCUGAUCAUCACUCCCUGAUGCUCUAAAGCAAUCAUUUUUGAAGGACAUACCUGGAAAUACCAUCCCCUCCUCUUCUAGUUGCUCUCAUCCACAGAACUGUCACCUAUACUCUUCAUUCAGGCAAACUGCAACCCCUUACUUACACACUUCAUGUGUAUUCCAAGUUCUCCCAUCAUCAUGGAGAAUCCAGCACUCAGGUCGACAACCAUGCAACUCCCUAGCCUCUGAGUUCUUCAACGGCUUCAUAUCCAAUGACUCUACUCCAUUUCAGUUGCACACUCCCAUGGCCUUGCCCUUGUCAUUUUUCUUACCUGUAACCACUCUAAUUUCAAAAUACCUUGUUUUUGAUCAUAAAACGUUCAAUGUCAGCUUUAAAAUAUAUAUAUUUCCUUUAUGACUUAUAGCAUUCUACUUUCUGUCAAUCUAGAAGUCACAUAUAUAGAAUACUCCUUGAGCAAAUAAAUGAAUGGAAACACUUGUAAAAUUAAGAGGAACAUGCCAAUAGCCUGAUUACAAUAACAUCUCUUCCUCUACUGAAUAGAAACCUCUAGAUCCUGUGGUGAGUCUGGUCUUGAGUUUUUGUGUGCACUGCUGGGUCCAGAUGAAACCUCAGCUUCCUGCCUCCCAAUGUCGUUACAAAAGAACUUGACGCAGGAGUGGGUGGAGUGGAGGACAAAAGUCACAGGAAGAAUCAAGACAUUCAUUAACACUAUAGUAGCAUUUGUAUUUGAAAUAUAAAAAAUAAUCCUAAAAUAUACCUCUUUAUAACUGAGGGGACCAAAAAUUAUAUGUGGCAUGAGAUGCCUCUCUUUUAUUUUCCCUUAUUUUCUCUCCAUAGAAUUAGAGACACACAAAUUCUUUCCCUUAGCUGGCUAAUUGAGGGAUAACUUUAACAAACAUAGGUUAUCUGAACCUGUAGAAAUGGACUCUUGUAAGUGUCCAAAAGACCCCCUUACCAGGUUACAUCUUAAUGAGUAAUUUUUGGCUCUGUUUUAGUUGUACUCUAUGAGGUUCAUAAACUUAGUUAGCUGGACUUAUGGUCAUUUGCACAAUAUGUUAAACUGGAUUUCUUUCCUUCAUUUCAGAAAAAAAAAUUCAUUUAACUAAAUCUCUUGAGAUUAUUGAAUAAUUCAAAAUCAGACAAGGUCACUUCUAAUGGGAAGUCUUUCGUAACUUCUCUUUCUCUGUCAUUCUACAAAAUGUUCUUAAUAAACCCAUUACAGUCUGUAAACAACAUUGCAGUGACACUAUAAUAGUGUCACUAUUCUUUCAAGAAGCUGUAAGUUAGUAUUGCCAGGUGAGUAAACAUGUUUUAAGUCUAGAAUGCAAUGGCUCAAUAAUAAUGUGAUGAUGCUCAAUAAUUGUAUAUAAACAUCUUUAUGAAUGAAUGACUAGGGCUAUACCAAUAUGAGCUAUAGUUAAUUAACUUAAUGAAUAUUUAUGAACCAUUCACUAUAUGCCAGCUAUUAUUCUAGGUGCUGUCAAUAUAUCAGUGAAAAAAGCAGGUAAAAUUUCCUGCCACAUGAAGCUUAUAAUUUCUGCAUUCUAGAGGAAAAAGAAAGUUUGUCAUCCAUGGAGGAAAGUCAGUUAGAUGUCCCUUCAAAAAGAGACUAUUGCAAGCAUCUGCCAAAUGAGCCGCUAUAGCCUUUGGUUGUUCCCAGCCAAUGACUGAACUGAGAGUGGGUACUAGAGAUGGGUCACUUCAGCCUACAGGGGGGCUCCCUUAAUAAUUAAUCUCUGCUUUUUGGGUCUCCCCACAGGGCACCUGGCCAAUAAUUUCUCGAAGCUACAUUGUAGUCUGAGGCUCUUUUUACCUAAUUCUUCUUCCCACCUUCUUACCUUAUUCAGAUGUCAGCCUUGUAGUAUGGUCUGAAGGCUGUCCAUAUCCACUUUACUCACCCCCUGUUUAUUCUAGAGGUGUUUCCCCCUCUAAAGUCUCUUGCACUUCUAAUUCCAUCUUAGGGUCUUGUUGAAGGCACUGCACUGAUACAGAAGGUAGCAAAUUUUGUUUCACUUUAAUACUUUAAAUAUGAAAUCGACUUCUAGACUUAUAUGACUGGCCAUCAUAUGCUUACUACUGCUCCACCCUACUCUAAGGUUUCAGGAAAUCCACAAAGUGAAAGAAAAAUCAUUCCAAUUAUAAUGCAAAUAACAAUUAUGCAGACAUCUGUCAGAAAGCAACACCAUUAGAAUUCCAAACAAUGGGGUGCUAAAGCUGGCUAGGGCCAAUUCUGUGCAUCUCUUCCAAAACCCUGUAUUCAAUGAUAUUAUGUUGUUAGCUGGAAAUCAGCCACGGUGGUGGAAGAAUUUCCACUGUAUAAACUGGCAAAAGCUACACAUCAGAUUUAAUUUUGUUUUGGGGAGUAUGUGUGUGUGUCAGAGUGUGUGUGUGUGUGUGUGUGUGUGUUACCAGACAGCUAGUUUACCACUAUGUCAUUGCUUGCAGACAUUAUUCAGGCAUGCCUGACCAGUAGUUCAAGAAUAAGAAUGCAUGCUUUUUCAAAGAGAAACAAAAAUAGACAAGCAAAACUCUGCAGAAUCUUUUUGAAAAUAAACUCAAGCUUAUUCUAGGUUAAAAUAGUUUAAUAUUCUCUCCACUGGGUCCCACUUUAAACACUCAUGUAUUUUACAGUCCAAUGUUCUUUCCUCUUCUCCGCUCUUCUAGGCUCUAUAGCCCCCUUCCAGGGUAGCCCUCUCUGGAGGCAGCACAUUAUUAUUUUGGUCCUUUGAUCUUGCAUUAGUACGGAAGCUCCAUUGUGUUUCUGAGAAUAUAUUGUCCAAAGAAAGUAAUGUUCUGACUAAUUCUUUGUAAUUAAACACAUUAUAUUGCCUCCUGAUUUGCACAUUGAAUUACAAAAUUUUGAAAUACAUAAACAUCAUUGAUGCCAAAUACUCAAAAUAAAUCAUUUCUGAUAUCUGUGGGAUUAAUGAAUAUUAAUUAUCUGACAUUCAUUACUCUUUAAAAUUUAUUUUCUAUUAUUGCUCAUGUCUUGUACUUUGAUUUUUCAUAUUAUUCCCAGGCUGUACUUGGUAUCUUCUUCCUGUACAGCUUUUAUCUACUAUAAAAUGUAUUCUGGUCAAUCAAGGUGGAAGUGUUUUGAUUUCUUUUUUUUUCUUUUGGUUUUGUCUUUUUGUUUUUGUUUUCUUUUAUACUUUAAAACAAAAUAUCUCAUCAUCGGUCUUUACAGAACCAUAUGAGGAAAAUAUUGGUUCUCUGAUUUUCUGUGGUCCUAGUAAAAUAAUUAAAGAAAUGAAAAUAAUGAAAAGCAAGGUCAGGCAUGGUGGCUCAUGCAUGUAAUCCCAGCACUUUGGGAGGCCGAGGUCGGCAGAUGACUUGAGGCCAGGAGUUUGAGACAAGCCUGGCCAACAUGGUAAAAACCCAUCUCUACUAAAAACACAAAAAUUAGCCAGGCAUGGUGGCACAUGCCUGUAAUCCCAGGUACUCGGGAGUCUAAGGCAUGAAAAUCACUUGAACCCAGGAGGCAGAGGUUUCAGUGAGCCAAGAUUGCGCCACUGCACUCCAGCCUGGGCGACUGUGACAUCUCGAAAAAAGAGAAAAAGGCAAUAUACCUAUCCCAUGAUCUUUAUUAAUGCAUUUAUAUGAAUGCACUUUUGACAAGAUAUCUGCCAACUUUCUCAGAAGAACAAAGAAUGCAUUCCUUAUUUUUAGUGGUACUAGGAAAAUAGUAACAAUAUUGAGAACACGUUUCACAUGUCCUUUGACGUAACCUGAUGUUUUUGAGUAUGCUCAUUAAGAGGAAGCCAAACAAAACACUAAAUAAAGGGAGGCCAAAUUGUGUUGCAACAUGACUCCUCUCCUCUCCCUUACUCACACACACAAGGCCAGCCUCAUUCACUGUAGUCAUCCUUCCUUCUCACUGAGCAUGGAAAAGCCUGCAAUCCUCUUCACUAUUAGAGUUUGUUAUAAGUUAAAAAUGUCUUUUUUACUGAGAUCUUUUUUUAAUGUACUAUAUAAUAUGUGUUUAAUAUUCUUACAUGCUUGAAGUUCCUCUUGAAGAUACACUAGGGGUCAAAAUUUUUUUUUAAUUUUUCCGUGUUCCUAGAGACACUAAUAUUUCUGUAUUUUAUAGAUGUUGCAUAACUUUGCCCUUCCCUGCUGGCGUUUCCCUGGUUCUAUUUCAUCUAUAUAUUCUAUGAGGCCUUUAUUAAACAUUUGUAUAUGUGUAUACAGGCCUGUAUUAAAUAGAUUUGAAUUUUCAUUAGAGAUGUUUUAUGCACUCAAGCUGUUUAUAAAAAACUAAAAAAUGUCUGAAACAUUAAUAUCAAAUGACUAAAAAGGAAGUUGCUCAUUUAUCUGGUAUCCUCAACUAAAGUGCUAUAAAAAUAUCUGGUUGAUGAGGAAUUCUGACAAAUAAUAGCUUUGGCUUCACAUUUAAGAAAAACUUCCAGUCAUUUGAUUCCAAGGUUUACAGUCAUAAGAGAACAAACUCACAAAUGAAUUUCACCAACAGUUAAUAUUCUGACAUACCCUGUAUAUCCAAUAAUCCUCUGUCCAUCUGAUAGCCCGCUUCAUAUUAUAAGAAGAGAGAAAUUGCAAAUAUUUGCUCCUAAGCUCUUGUGAUAGGCAGAAUGAUGAUCCCACAAAAAUGUCUUUGUCCUAAUCCUCAGAACUUGUGAAUAUAUUACCUUUCAAGGCAAAAAAGACGUCUGUAUAGAUGUGAUUAAGAAUCUUGAUAUAGGGAGAGUGUUCUAGCUUAUCAGAAUGGGUACAAUGUGAUCAUUAAAGUUUUUAUAAGUGGAAGAGGGAGACAGCAGUGUCAGAGAGAGAUCUGAAAUUGCUACCCUGCUGACUGAAGAUGGACGAAGAGGUCAUGAACCAAGGAAGGCAGGUGGCCUCCAGAAGCUGGAAAAAGGAUAAAUUUUCCCUAAAAGCUUUCAGCAGAAACAUGGCCAACUCCUUAAUUAUAGCUCGGUGAAGACUUCUGACCUCCAGCACUGUAAGAUAAGGAGUGUGUGUGUGUGUGUGUGUGUGUGUGUGUGUGUGUGUGUGUGUGUUUCAGUGCUGUGUUACAGUGUUGUAACACUUAGUUUGUGGCAACAGCAAUAAGAAGGCAAUAUAUCAUCUCAUACAUUCCAGAGAAAGCAAAAAUAGAUGGCAUUAACUCUAUAUAACCCUUUACCUAAAACAUAAAAAUGAAUCCCUUAAAAGCAGCUUAGCUUACAUACAAUAAAAAGUUACAAUUUUUAAAUUACAUUGAAUUUUUCCUAUUUCCUCUCAAGAUGUUUUUGUUAUAGUACUAAGAAAUACUCUCUUUGUUAAUUACAUGUGAAAAGUGUAUUUUCUCAUGACUUUCAGAAAAAACUUCUGUGAAAGAUGGAAAUUAAGGUUCUUCAGACAAGCCAAGUUAUUCCAGUAGUAAGACGAUAAUAAAAUAAGCAAGGAGUUUAACUUUCCAAGGUCAGAAGAUAUUCUUAAUAAUAAUUUUAGUGUUACUUUAAAAUGUAACAUUGUUACUUUAGAAAAUAUUGCUCUAGCUGCAUUUUUAUAGCUUGGGAGUCUUCUGUAGCUGGAAAGAGAGGGUACUCCAUAUUAAUUUCUACACACAACAAAAUUGCCAUUAGCAAAUAUUCUCAAACAAAAAUGUUCUUGUAACCCAUUUAAAAGUGCAAAUUAAAUGGACUUUGUGGUAAUAAUUUGUGAAGUACAUUAAAAUGCAUUGUAUGCUGAAGGCUAAAAUGUUACAGAUUUGUCUAUACGAGCUAAACCUACUGGUUCAUACUAAUGACAUGUUCAUACUAAUGACAUGUAGCAUUACAGGGCAAUGUGUUUCAGAGCUGGGAUUGCCUGUAAAUUGCCUCAAGUAUGAUUUAACAGAUAUCACGCAAAAUUUUCAUACACAAAUGUAUCCCCAGACCAACAUAGUGUAGCCCUGGAGAUGCACCACAGAAAGGCAUUAUGUAAAGAUGGCAUAUUGCCAAUAUUUAAAAUAAAAAUGAUUGUAUAGUAAUACAUUUGCUUAUUUAUUCAUUCACAAAAGCUUAUUUAUAUACUCACUCAAUAAAGCUUUUGUGAAUGAGUAAACAAGCGAAUGUAUUACUUCACAUUUUUUAAAAGUAUAGGUACUUUU
rnacentral:lncRNA from 1 species